GGGGCCUUCGGCUAAUGGGUGAGGACCGUUGGCAGGGGGCGGGCCUUGACGGUGAGAGGACCCGGCCUGGGAGCGAGAAGUCCUGGGUGGGUGAGAGCAGGGGUCUCGCCAGGGGCGUACUAGCCAAGUGGGGGGCGGGGCCGUGGGCUGAGUCCUGGGCCUCUUACCGAGGGGCGAGGCGUUGGAUCUCGGAGGAGAGGGGGCGGCCCUGUGGAAGCGGAACCCGGGAGCCCGGCUUCGGGGAGGGUAGAAGGGCCUACGAGAGAAGGGGUUGAGGGGGGGGCUGCAAGGCGGAAGCAGCGCGGUCGGACGGACAAGGCCCAAGCACGCGAAGGGCGGGGCCCGAGGGGAAUGGGACCAAUGAGUCUUUGAGGAUGAAGGGCAAGGCGGGCGGGUCCGGAGUGGAGCCCUGCGAGGAAUGUGGAGCCGGGAGCCUGUGAGCGUGAGCGUGAGCGUCCUCACUAGCUUGUGCAGAAGUCAGCUAGAAGUGC
rnacentral:lncRNA from 1 species